rnacentral:tmRNA from 1 species
GGGGCUGCACUGGUUUCGACGUGGGUUCGGAAGCGUAGUGGGGCGUGCCGAGGUUCAGUCACCUCGUUAAUCCGCUGAAAAAAACUAACUGCAAACGACGAACGUUUCGCACUCGCGGCUUAAGCUGUGAGACUUGCAACAGCAUGCUGACGGGCUGGGCAAGGGGGUAGCAAUACCUCCCGGCUGCAAGGGAAUUCACGUUGGCUGGCACGUAAUUGGGUUACUUAGUUACGGGCGAGAUUUUAGGUAACUGGCGUCUUGGGUAGCGUGUUGCUGCGCGACUCAAGAAGUGAGAUCCAAAUCAGACGACUACGCACGUAGAACCAUACGAAUAAGUCUCGCGGACGGGGGUUCAAUUCCCCCCAGCUCCACCA